CUGUCUUGACAGCACGAAGAGGAAGCUGUCAAGCAGUUUCAGCAGGCUGUUUACUUCAUUGCUGCUGUGAACAGCUGGAGGCGAACCAUCAAUUAAAGAGUACUUCCUAUGAAGCCCCUGCAGACAAACUCUCUGGGGGUUACCUGAUGUGACAUUGACUCUCCAAGUCCAUCUUCUAUCCUGAUUUUGAGUGGCAGGAAAGGCAGGCAUGCAGGACUCGGAAUGCCUUGGGAAGACUCAGGCUUCCACCUACAGGGUUUCAAAAUGUCAGUCUGAUGAGAAAACACCAGAACUACCAUGGAGAAUGAUAAAUGGAAGAGUAAGCAGCAGAAAAACAACCAAGAACUACACGGCUCAUCAGCUGGGAAUUCCCCAGAGUUUGGCAAUGCUGUGUUUCCUGCCUUAGAAUUUGUGACCCCCGGUUGACCUUUGUAUCAUUUACAUAGAGGGGCUUCUCUGAAAGAAGAACCACAUGCACACUUAAUAAAAAACGGGUGGGGACUCA
rnacentral:lncRNA from 1 species